CAGCAUUACUCUGAUACCACUUCUGUCACUUCAUAUUGCGCCAAAUAAAGAUUCACACAUACAAUGACUCAGUGUAUAGAGACCAACGUCAUAAUCUUUAUUACAUAACGAAAAUGUCUUACAAAAUAGUUGAUAAUUAAUAAAUCGAACUAAGAUAAAUAUCUCCUCGGUGCCAAUAGUUGACUGGGAGACGACCCCUGGAUUUCAUCGAAUUCAUCGUAGUAGUCCUUCUCCAGCAGUACUUGCUCUUCACCUGGAAGGGUUUAUAGCAAGAGUAGGCUCUCGCUUAGCAAGUGUGGUAGGCAAGGUACAGAGGAGACCAAACUAGGUAACCUAUUAGGUUCCAUCAAAUUAACCUGAGCAUGCCACGGUGAUUAUAGAGAACAUUAUUAGGUAAAUAAAAGUGAUCAAUGACACAAUUUGCCUUCUACGAGAUCCUGCUCAGAAUUCUCAACCUGAUGUACUCUAGGCUCCUCGCUUACGGCUCAUCUACUCGUAGCAAUACAAACAACCAAUACGCGAACAAAAAUCAAAAUCACACCAAGUUAUAAAAUAAUGGCAUAAUACUACUCUACAGGUCGAGACGAAACCGUAGGUUCGAGAACCACUGAAAACGGAGCUAAAACUUUGAAGAUAUGAAUUUUACAAGAUUAUUGGAUUUAUUUCUAUACCUAAAAUCAUUUUCUAUAUUUAUUUUGAAUAAUCCUGGAAUCCCUGGACAACGGACACAAAUACCAGAGACUGAUUUGUAAGGCUCUUACAAUGGCAGGGGACGGUGGGUUUAAUUAUAAAAAACUGAGGUUUUUUAGAGAAACGUAACGACCGAAGGCUUACCGUUUAUUUCAAGUCGUCCAAUCAGCGAUCCACGACCCAAAAUAAAUUGUGAACCGGUAUGCCACGGUGACCGCAUGAUCCUAGAUAUGCGGUCCGGGUUUCAUUUAGUCCAAGAUCCCACCAUAACCAUUCAUCAUAGAUCUACGAUUCAAAUUAGGAGAGUGAAGGGAUACACACUAAUCUAAUCCCAUGUGUGAGCCAUAGAUCCAACGUUCGAUACCCGUCUUCCCCACCCGACGUCCCCAAGGCAACGACGCCUCCACGGCCCACGGCGGGGAGUUCGCCGUAGUACCCGAAACAACGCAUAGGUGCUCGGAUCCCAAUGAUUUCUAUUGUACCCGAAACCAUAAUGAACAUGAUGAAGGUUGUCUCAUCGCGGAUGACGUAGUGGCAUGCCCUACCCACAGUCAAGCACAGAUCUACGACAGAGCUCUAGCUCCGAUGAGCAAUUAUCGGUGUCCAAGGGUUUGACUCCGAACAAUUAUGGGUGAAAACAAAAGCGGAGGAACAGGGAUAAACUCGAGAGGAAUCUCACGGACAAUUGAAGCGUCUGGGAUGGCUGUCCACAAGGCCACGGCGGUGACGACUCCACUGCGUGAAGUCCUACGCGGUCACAGAGGUUCCACGCUUCUCCAACUGUCACGGACGAGCUCGUUGUGUUCCGACGAAAUAGCCCAAUUGAUCACCGAGCACCCGCCGGUGACAUACGUGGAGAAUGAUGGCGAUGGCGCACUUCUGUUCUCUGCUCGGUCUUCCGCUCUCUCUCCGAUCGGUGGGGCAUGGUUGGGAAGGAUCAAUGUGAGGGCACCACACAUAUAGCCGAGGCAGCAUAUCACCUAGGACCCACCAAACCACAACGACCUG
rnacentral:lncRNA from 1 species